CACAGGUGCUGCAUGGCUGUCGUCAGCUCGUGUCGUGAGAUGUGGUUAAGUCCGCAACGAGCGCAACCCUUGCCAUUAGUUGCUACGAAAAGGGGCACUCUAAUGGGACUGCCGGUGACAAACCGGAGGAAGGUGGGGAUGACGUCAAGUCCUCAUGGCCCUUAUGGGUAGGGCUUCACACGUCAUACAAUGGUACAUACAGAGGGCUGCUAAAUCGUGAGAUGGAGCCAAUCCCAGAAAGUGUAUCGUAGUCCGGAUUGAAGUCUGCAACUCGACUUCAUGAAGUUGGAAUCGCUAGUAAUCGCGGAUCAGCAUGUCGCGGUGAAUACGUUCCCGGGUCUU
rnacentral:rRNA from 1 species